CGAUGAUCUGCACCGUUUGUUGAAUGUAAAUUAUACAGCAGUUUUUAAAAGGUCAGGUUCAAGAGCUGGCCCUCUUCCUUUCUGUGCAGACAAGUCCAUCUCUCUGAGCCUUGGUUUCCUCCCUGAAAAAUAGAAGGACCACUUACACCUGCGCCAUGAGUGAUCACAUAUAUUAUUAAAUGAGACCACGUGAGUUAAAUAUGCUUUGUAAAUGACAAAGUGCCGGGUACACAGUGACUUGUUCUGCUUUUCCUCCAGCGGCCUUCCAGAGCGAAUUACUGAGCUGGUACAAAUCUGUGGGCUCUGCCCUGCAACUUCACUUGGAGAUUAGUGUUUAUCUGUCUAUUUUAAGGAGACUCUGGAGGUAUCCAAAUGCUUCAGAAAAGCAAAUGGAAUAUGGAUUUGCCGGGGAGAGGAGGGUGAGCUGCAAAGGGAACAGCUGGGGAGAAAGCCGUCCAUCCAGCUGGGCGGCGGGGCGAGCCGGGUGCCCCGAGAGGGAGUCACUGAGUGCCUGCGAGAGAGUCGUGACCAGGAAAAGCAGCGUUAAACCAGUGCUUCUUUACACCUGUUGCGCCCCUGGUCAUCUAGUCUUACCCCUUCCUCCGGUGGAUCCAGAACCUCCAGCUGAGCUAGCAGGAUUGUGCGGUUUGAUGCAACGAAGCCCGCACACUUGGGAAGGAGGCCUCACAGACAUGCACCCCUGCCCCGGGGAGACGCUGUCCUAAGCACCCAGUGGGAGCAUAGUGGCUAUCUGGUGACAAUAUCUCAGAGUGGGUUAUCUGGGGAGGGAAGGACCUCACGUGGGUGUGGACCAGGAGGGAACCAAGGUUGAGUGUGCAGAGGCAAGCUUUGCCAAGUGGGUAUUGCCCUGACUUUACUGCAUGAGUGUCCCCUAUAUGCGGUCACGCAUUUGCUGGAAUAAAAGAGAAAACCAGUGUCGCUUAAA